GACGAACGCUGGCGGCGUGCUUAACACAUGCAAGUCGAACGGAAAGGCCCUGCUUUUGUGGGGUGCUCGAUUGGCGAACGUGUGUGUAACACGUUAGUAACCUGCCCUUGACUUUGGGAUAACUUCAGGAAACUGGUGCUAAUACCGGAUAGGAUCUCCUGCUGCAUGGUGGGGGUUGGAUAGUUUCGGCGGUUGGGGAUGGACUCGCGGCUUAUCAUCUUGUUGGUGGGGUAGUGGCUUACCAAGGCUUUGACGGGUAGCCGGCCUGAGAGGGUGACCGGCCACAAUGGGACUGAGAUACGGCACAGAAUCCUACGGGAGGCAGCAGUGGGGAAUAUUGCACAAUGGGCGGAAGCCUGAUGCAGCAACGCAGCGUGCGGGAUGACGGCCGUCGGGUUGUAAAACGAUUUCGCAUGUGACGAAGCGUGAGUGACGGUAAUGGGUAAAGAAGCACCGGCUAACUACGUG
rnacentral:rRNA from 1 species